AUAGUCGGAUUUGCAUCAAUCCACAUGUGUUGGAGUGGAUUGGAGUGAAACUUGAACUAAAUUUCACCCCAAUCCACUCUAACAUAACAUAUAUGGAUUAAGGUGAAUCUGACG
rfam:Sorghum bicolor cultivar BTx623 chromosome 1, whole genome shotgun sequence.